rnacentral:tRNA from 1 species
UCCCUGGUGGUUCAGUGGUUAGAACUCUGCGCUUUCACUGCCAAGGGCCUGGGUUUGAUCCCUGGUCAGGGAA